rnacentral:rRNA from 1 species
UACGUAGGGUGCGAGCGUUAAUCGGAAUUACUGGGCGUAAAGCGUGCGCAGGCGGUUUUGUAAGUCUGUCGUGAAAUCCCCGGGCUCAACCUGGGAAUGGCGAUGGAGACUGCAAGGCUAGAGUACGGUAGAGGGGGAUGGAAUUCCGCGUGUAGCAGUGAAAUGCGUAGAUAUGCGGAGGAACACCGAUGGCGAAGGCAAUCCCCUGGACCUGUACUGACGCUCAUGCACGAAAGCGUGGGGAGCAAACAGG